rnacentral:rRNA from 1 species
UGGGGAAUAUUGGACAAUGGGCGAAAGCCUGAUCCAGCCAUGCCGCGUGUGUGAAGAAGGUCUUCGGAUUGUAAAGCACUUUAAGUUGGGAGGAAGGGCAGUAAGCGAAUACCUUGCUGUUUUGACGUUACCGACAGAAUAAGCACCGGCUAACUCUGUGCCAGCAGCCGCGGUAAUACAGAGGGUGCAAGCGUUAAUCGGAAUUACUGGGCGUAAAGCGCGCGUAGGUGGUUCGUUAAGUUGAAUGUGAAAGCCCCGGGCUCAACCUGGGAACUGCAUCCAAAACUGGCGAGCUAGAGUAGGGCAGAGGGUGGUGGAAUUUCCUGGGUAGCGGUGAAAUGCGUAGAUAUAGGAAGGAACACCAGUGGAGAAGGCGACCACCUGGGCUCAUACUGACACUGAGGUGCGAAAGCGUGGGGAGCAAACAGG